CAUUAUUGAAUAAAUCUGGCGUAGGUUGUAGCUGGCUCUCCGGAGCAUGUGCACACCUCGUCACCUUUAUCUUUCCACCUGUGCACACACUGUAGUCCUGGAUACCUCUCGCUGAAAGGCGGAUGUGGAGGCUGCUGUUGCCUUUUGAAAAGGCUCGGCUUCCUCUGAAUUUCCAGUUCUAUGAUUUUUAUACACCCCAAACGAAUGUUAUAGAAUGUAAUUCAAUACGGCCUUUGUGCCUAUAAACCUAAUACAACUUUCAACAACGGAUCUCUUGGCUCUCGCAUCGAUGAAGAACGCAGCGAAAUGCGAUAAGUAAUGUGAAUUGCAGAAUUCAGUGAAUCAUCGAAUCUUUGAACGCACCUUGCGCUCCUUGGUAUUCCGAGGAGCAUGCCUGUUUGAGUGUCAUUAAAUUCUCAACCUCACCCAUUUUGUCAUGAAGUGGUGUGUAGGCUUGGAUGUGGAGGCUUGCAGGUCCGGCUCUCUUGAGUUGGUCUGCUCCUCUGAAAUGCAUUAGUGGGUUGUGCCCCUCAUCUAUUGGUGUGAUAAUUAUCUACGCCGUGGAUCAGUGUUGGCAACAAUGAGACCUGCUUCUAACCGUCCGACUCGGACAAUCUUGACAUUUUUGACCUCAAAUCAGGUAAGACUACCCGCUGAACUUA
rnacentral:rRNA from 1 species